GCUGUGCCUGAAUUCCAACGGGAGGAA
rnacentral:piRNA from 1 species